rnacentral:rRNA from 1 species
GAUGAACGCUGGCGGCGUGCCUAAUACAUGCAAGUCGAGCGAACAGAUGAGGAGCUUGCUCCUCUGACGUUAGCGGCGGACGGGUGAGUAACACGUGGAUAACCUACCUAUAAGACUGGGAUAACUUCGGGAAACCGGAUCUAAUACCGGAUAAUAUAUUGAACCGCAUGGUUCAAUAGUGAAAGACGGUUUUGCUGUCACUUAUAGAUGGAUCCGCGCCGCAUUAGCUAGUUGGUAAGGUAACGGCUUACCAAGGCAACGAUGCGUAGCCGACCUGAGAGGGUGGUCGGCCACACUGGAACUGAGACACGGUCCAGACUCCUACGGGAGGCAGCAGUAGGGAAUCUUCCGCAAUGGGCGAAAGCCUGACGGAGCAACGCCGCGUGAGUGAUGAAGGUCUUCGGAUCGUAAAACUCUGUAAUUAGGGAAGAACAAAUGUGUAAGUAACUAUGCACGUCUUGACGGUACCUAAACAGAAAGCCACGGCUAACUACGUG